UCUCGUUAAGGCCCUCCAAGGCCGAGCUAGUUUUAUCCGGUAAACCCUACCUCUCUCUCUUACUUGCCACUUGAGUUACGCCGGCCAUGUGCGAUGCGCUUCGCAUUGCCUUCUAGGCGGCUCUUCUCCCGCCGCCUCUGCACGCUACCUCAAAAGCUCAAUAACGUAUCCUACCUCUACCGCGACCGUGUCCUCAAGGAGGCACAGUGCUUGCUCACCGACUACCUCCACUCAGCCCGCGCCAUCUCCUUCUCCCACGCUGACUCUAUCGUCUCCUACGCCCCCUUUUCGCUCUCCGCCCUGGUCUCCAAGAUCCCUUUCCCGCCAAACACCCCCGCCAACGAAUUUAAGCGCUUCCUCCGCCGCUUCUUUUCCUACCGUCCCGUCAACGAGUACGAGUUUUUCUUCGAGAGCAUUGGCCUCUCACCCUCCUCCUCCUCCCUCGCUGCGUCCACCUACCGUAGUUACUUCCUCUCAGAUGAUGCCUCGCUCCUCGCUGCUGUCUCGGCGCUCGUCGGCUUUGGCUUUCCUUGGAGGAAACUCGGCAUCCUGUACAGCGAGGAUCCCCGCAUUUUUUCGGUAGAUGCCAACAGUCUCGUCGCCAGGCUCUGCGCCCUCGAUGCCCGGGGUUUCCAUCGUGUAUGCAUCAUCAGCAUUUGCCUUGCUUUCCCCUCCGCGCUGUGUGCAGAAGCUGACCCUGGCGGUGAGAUUGAUCUACUGUUUCAGGAUUUGAGAAAGGUCUUCAUCGACUUUGAUCUCGCUGGAUUGGUCCCUGAAGACGAUGUGGAUGUUUUCCUUCACACGUGCAGGAAGAUUCGUGUGUUCUAUGAUCUGGGUGCUACAAAAGGGACGAUGGGCGAGCUGAUGGGUAGAAAUCGGAAGAUAUUCCUGGAGCUGGACGAGGCGUUAAUAGCUCAAAAAUUGAAAUUUUUCAUCAAUUUAGGAAUGGAGGCUGCUGAAGCUGGGCAUUUCAUUCUUAAACAUGCUGAUCUUGUUUAUCUCGAUUUUGACAAUCCUACCAUUGUGAUGCCAGAGUAUCUAAAGUGCAUUGGUUUGGAUGAGGAUGAAGUCAAUUUGUUGUGUCGGAAGUAUCCUUAUGUGAUGGGCAAGAAUAAAUUAAGAAAUUUGCCAGCGAUGAUGAAAGCCAUGAAUCUGCACAAGCAGUUCCUAGGCAAGAUCUUGAAUGGGAAUCUCCAUUAUCUCUCUUCUGAAUUUGUUCUUGCUACCUCUCAUUACACAGCACUAGAGAGUGGGUUUCUGCAAGCUUUGGAAAGGCUGAAACGUGCCAGGAAAGUGCAGUUUCUUGACAGUAAACUAGAAUUCAUGCAAAGUAUUGGAUUUGGGGAGAAUACGCUCACAGUUAAAUCCAUGUCACUGAUCAAUAUUAGCGCAAAGGACCAAUUGCAGGAGCGCAUCGAUUGCCUUCUCCAGCUGGGUAUUGAGUACUCCAUGCUUUGUCGAAUGAUAAUUGCAAAACCAAUUAUAUUGAAUCAGUGCAAAGAAAUGCUCCAUGAGAAGGUGAAUUUCCUUUGCAAUGACUUAGGUUUUUCGUUAGAGUAUCUUGAUAUUUUCCCUGCUUUUCUUAGUUUUGAUCUGGAGAACAGAACCAAGCCACGAUAUAAAAUGCUAAAGUGGCUUAAAGAACUCAGCUUGCUCAAGAAGCCUUUUGCCCCUGCUACUGUUCUUGCAAAUUCUGAGAGGAGAUUCAUGGUUAACCUCUAUAGUAUCCAUCCAGCUGCUCCGAAACAAUGGUUAGAAUGCUUCUCAUCCAAAAGCGACUGUCAUGGAAAUCAAAGAAUCUUAUUUUUGCCUCGUAAUUAGCACAGAGAUAGUGCUUGCAGAAUCAACAAAGACCAUAAACCAGUGUGCUACUCUGACCUUUGUUCUUUGGAGGGCAAGCUACUUCAUAGGAUUUUAUCAAAGCAGCUUUACCUUGCUGAAAUAGAAAAAGCAUCUUUGUGUCAUUCAUCUUGAUUGUGACUUUUGUCAUAGCAGCUGUAUCCAAAUUUCCGUGAUGAUCUUAGCAUCCAUACACCUCAGUCUAAACUGCUAUAAUAUCCUUGCUCUAGUUACUGGAACAGUUAAGCCAUCAUUGUGCCUGCAUCAACUGCUCUAAUAGGGUUUAUUACAUGAUGCCAAACCUUGAAGGAUGCUAGUUCACCUCGAUUCCCUUUUUCAAUAGCUUGCUGAGGAUCAUCUACCUAAGGCAGUUGUCACAUAGAAGCGGAACCACUCAAGUUAAUGCUCAUCUCUCUUUUGCAGAAACAAAGAAACUCAAAUUCUAUUGUGAUUUAUCAUGUAGAAUUGUUUGAAUGUUAAGAAGGCCCUUGUGAGGAAGGGUGUUGUUCCCCUUGGAUGGUUUUUGUGGUGUUUAGAAUUGAAUAAUUGUUGUAAUAUACGUGUAACAUUGUUUUUUGGUCCUUGAUGUGUAAGGACUAAAGGUUGUUCUUCAGCUUUUACAGGGCGUUUCGCCAAAAUAAAGAAUUUUAGGGUAUGUUUAACCCUGAGGUCAA